UGAUGUCCUCACGGCUGAGAGGUGGAG
rnacentral:piRNA from 1 species